GCAGUAUACCAUGUCGAUUUCCAAGUUUUGGAUUGAAUUGUCAAGAAGAAUGCAAUUGCACAGAAAAUAUUUGUAACUUCAAGGAAGGAUGCAGAGAAGAUUUGACGACUGACAAAAUGGUAACGAACACUAUUUAUACUAAAAAAUAUACAGGGAAUAUAUCAGUACACACAUGGACCAAUGUCAGGAAUAUUGAGAAUACGUCUCCUUCUCGUGAAGAUAUAAUGACGAAAUCAAUUGAUGCAAACAAACGUUUCUCUCUUCAUACAGUAAUCGUUGUUCUUUCAAUAUUAGCUUUUAUACUUUUAUGUGUUUAUGUUUCCAAAUUUGCGAUGACAUCUCGGGCGCAAGGAAUAAGGAAUAAGAUGUAUUCGAAAUCCACAGCAAUUCAGAGCAAGUGUAAACAACUGACAAAUCUAUGUUUGGUACCUUAUCGAGAUUGAGAAUUGAGUCUCCUCAGCAUGUUCCAGAUAUUUCAGUUGGUAUUGUUAAAAGUUAGAUCGAGCAUUGAACUGUAUGCAACUAACCCCUAAGGAUAAACGGUUAAUUACUGUAAAAUGCAUCUUAAGGUCAAGUUCUAGUAAAUGAAAGGUGCCUACAAGUUCAUAGAAUUUAAGAUAUAAAUUCUUUCAAUCAUGCUUCAAAACAAUAGCUUUGUUUGAUAAUGUGUACCGGGGCUAAAAUGUUUGGUAAACACAAUGAAAAAUCAUGUUUUAAACUGUCAUUUUCAAUGAAAUAUGAAGGAAUUGAACAACAAAUUUCGGAGAUUUAUCAAUUUUUGACGAAUUCAACACAUCUAAAAUGCCUAC